AGGUAAGGUGGCUGAAUAAAGCAUUAGGCUGUAAAUCUAAUUAUAGGGGUUGAGUCCCCUUCUUGCCA
rnacentral:tRNA from 1 species